CGGGAGUCUGUGUAAACCGAUCUGUUUUGGCGGUGUCCCCGGGACGUGCCCAAAUGGGGGGAGAUGUCUAAGCCCCGACAGGUGCUCCUGCCCUCAGGGCUUUUCCGGCUCACCCUGUUCAGAUGAUCCUUGUUUAAGAUAUAAACGAGUGUCUCCAAAACAAUGGCGGAUGCUCGGGCACGUGUACGAACACAGAG